rnacentral:rRNA from 1 species
AGCGGCAAAAGCUCAAAUUUGAAAUCUGGCGUCUUCGGCGUCCGAGUUGUAAUUUGAAGAAGGCUACUUUGGAGCUGGAGUUUGUCUAAGUUCCUUGGAACAGGACGUCACAGAGGGUGAGAAUCCCGUGAGAUAAGCUUCCCAGUUCUAUGUAAAGUGCUUUCGAAGAGUCGAGUUGUUUGGGAAUGCAGCUCUAAGUGGGUGGUAAAUUCCAUCUAAAGCUAAAUAUUGGCGAGAGACCGAUAGCGAACAAGUACAGUGAUGGAAAGAUGAAAAGAACUUUGAAAAGAGAGUGAAAAAGUACGUGAAAUUGUUGAAAGGGAAGGGCUUGAGAUCAGACAUGGUAUUUUGUAAACCUUCUCUCUCGUGGAGGGGGCCCCUUGCAGUUUACUGGGCCAGCAUCAGUUUGGGCGGUAGGAUAAUGACUAAGGAAUGUGACUUGCCUUCGGGGAAGUGUUAUAGCCUUGGUUGAUACUGCCAGCCUAGACUGAGGACCGCGUCUUUGACAAGGAUGUUGGCAUAAUGAUCUUAAGCCACCCGUC